UGAUGAUAAUGACUUCGCUGAAUUUGAGGAUGUCAUGGAAGACUCUGUUACUGAAUCUCCUCAACGGGUCAUAAUCACUGAAGAUGAUGAAGAUGAGACCACUGUGGAGUUGGAAGGGCAGGAUGAAAACCAAGAAGGAGAUUUUGAAGAUGCAGAUACCCAGGUGAGGCUCUUUUUAUUAAUUUAUUGGAAAAAUUUGUAACUAGCACCUUUCCCAAACAUUAAAAUUAAUCCUCAGGCUCAAGAGACCUUUACUGUCUGGAGUCUUCAUUUUCAUUCACUAGGUAGAGCUCUUCUAAAUGUUCUGUGGUAAGUUUCCACCUUUUACAUUAACAGAAUGAAUUGUGUUCUUCUAUUGAAACCCUGACUGGAAGAGGGGUUAGAGAAUAGAUACUGUUUGUGGGUGAGAAUUGUAUUAUUUAGAACUUUGCAAUUGGCUGGGCACGGUGGCUCAUGCCUGUAAUCCCAGCACUUUGGGAGGCCAAGGCAGGCAGAUCACCCAAGGUCAGGAGUUUGAGACCAGCCUGGCCAACAUGGUGAAACCCUGUCUCUACUAAAAAUACAAAAUUAGCUGGGCGUGGUGGUGCGUGCCUGUCAUGUCAGCUACUUGGGAGGCUGAGCCAAGAGAAUCGCUUGAACCUGGGAGGUGGAGGUUGCAGUGAGCUGAGAUUGAGCCACUGCACUUCAGCCUGGGUGAUAGAGCAAGACCUUGUCUCCAAAAAAAAAAAGAAAAGAAAAAACUUUGUCAUCAAAAGCAUGGGGACUCAUCAUUUUGGUGUUUUGGGUGCUCCCCAGCUUUAUUGAGGUGUAACUGACAAAAAUUGUAUAUAUUUAAGGUGCACAACAUAGUGUUUUGGUAUACCUCUACAUACAAUAUGAAGUGCUUACCACAAUCAAGCUAAUUAACAUAGUUGCCUCCGUGUGUGUGUGUGUGUGUGUGUGUGUGUGUGUGUGGUGAGAAUACUUACAAUAUAUUCUCUUAGCAGAUUUCAAGUCUACAAUACAUUAUUAUUAACUGUAGUCACCUUGCUGCACAUUAGGUCUUCAGAACUUUCUCAUUUUAAGCUGAAAUUUGUACCCAAUCGUUUUGUUAAAAACAUGUAACAUCUGUUUUCUGUGCUUGCUGCUUACACGUUCUUGUUUUCCCCAACAAAUGUUGCCAACAAAAUGAGACACAGCUGCUGGUGACAUUUGUAGAGGAAAACGGAUGAUGCCUCAUUUUUGUAGGAGGGAGAUACUGAGAGUGAACCAUAUGAUGAUGAAGAAUUUGAAGGUUAUGAAGACAAACCAGAUACUUCUUCUAGCAAAAAUAAAGACCCAAUAACGAUUGUUGAUGUAGGUAUCCAGGAUUCUGAAUUCCCAACUAAACAACAAAAUGUCUUGUCAUCAAUCCCAGAAAUAAAAUUAAUGAUGUAUAGCUGGUGUUAAUGCAAUAGUGGGAGCUGAGAAGGAGCUUGACAUCAAUUUUUCUGAUAAAAAUCAACACCUCUCCGUCUCAAAAAAAAAAAAAUCAACACCUACAGAAGCAACCCCUAUUCAUCAUUGUAGCACUUCUAGUUUUACUACUUAUCAGGGAAUAAGUAAAAUUUAUUCCUUGGUGAUGUACAGUACAUUGAAUUUAUUUGGGGGUUAAGGACCAAGUGUAAAACAAAGGGCUUUCCAGCUUUUCAUCCCAUUUGAUUGUCCUUAUAUUUCCUUAAAGAAUCUUUUAUCAAGCUAGCCUAGAAAAGUAAAAUGGACCUAUUUUUCAAAGUAUAACCUUAUUCAAUGACAGAUAUCUGAAGUAUCCCUUCUGUUUAUGGAUUUUCUCAUUCUUCCUGCCAUGAGGUAGAUUUCAUUCUUCAGUCUCAGCCAACAUUUAAUGGAAUGAUUUUGCUUUUUUAGGUUUGGCAGAGAUAUUUCAACUGAUUUUUUUCCCAUUUUGUAUGUACUCUGAGAGACUUAUACUCUAAGCUGAUCAUCGGUAUUAUGUGCAGGUAUGGUGUCUGUGCUAAUAAGAAAUUUGCAAUGAAUAACCUGAUGGAACAAGAUUCUUAAAAUUUAUUGAACUGAAGUAGAAUGUAUCUUCUGGCAGUUAUACAUUUAUGAUAUAAUGCCAUCAUGAAUGGUAU
rnacentral:lncRNA from 1 species